CACACACACACACACACACACACACACACACACACACACACACACAGCAUGCAAACCUGCAACAAUUCAAUAAACUUAUGCACAGCUUUUCCCAUCCACACACUGUGACUAAACCUCGCUUUCGUCUCAUAUUCGCAGCACACCGCUCCUCUACGCUGUCAGUUAACCCUGCAAUUAACCCGCACCUCAGCCAAACAUCAUUAGGGAGGGAGCGAAGGAGGGAGAGGAGAAUUGAGAGCUGCCUUCAGAGAAACAGCAGAAUGGAGUCAAACAGAUGAAGGUGUUUCUUUACAUCAUUUCAUCACUGUAACCCGGGGCAGACAAUGUGAGGAUGUAGCCUACAGAAAAUGUAGUAAUGGAUUUUUAUCCCAGAACACUUCUGCUCUUUACUGGAUAUAUACUGAUGGGUAAUUAAUGCAAGUAUACUAUACACUUAAACAAGACAAAAUACCAUAGAUAUUUUAAGAUUUUUUGUUGAAAUGCAUUGCUUGUUUGGUUUGCUUGUAACAUUUAUAGAAAUUCAAAUUUCAAAACUGUAGAUUACAUCACAAUUGUUCUAAAUAUUACCCAUAAACUAUUAAACUAAUUUCAUAUCCUACAGAACUUUGUAUGUUUAGAUGACAACAAUGCAGCUGGAGAUAAGGUUGAUGAGAUCGUACACUGAGGUUACGGUUCAGACAUUGUUUUCCUCCCUGCUGGUAUACGGCCCCUUAUAUUGGGACAGUGCGGUGCACAUUGUGUCUAGUGGGCAUUGUGGAGUAUCUGGGGGAACUGUUUAGUCCCCCAUAAGAAGAUUAGAGAUGAUUGGUUUUAUUGACCGGCCUAUGCUGCGGUUAUCAGGGCGACUCUCAGAGCACAGAGCCACGCUUUUGUCUGGCCCUCAUUGUUCUUCCCAGCCCAAGACUCUGCACUGAUAUGAAUUUGAUAUGACAGUAAAGUGCCAAUUAUGUACAUACAUGCAAGGCCCUGCUCCCUUUCAGCUCUGUGUGGAGUGAAAAGACAGGGAAGAUGAGGAAGACACGGGAGGAGAGAUAAGGUGAUGGAAUAUCUUGAAGGGUUAGCGAGCGGGUCUUGAGGAUAAUUUGCUGCAAGAAUCUGGAGUCUGUUAUUUUCCGGAUCCUGAUGUUGUCAAUAAAACGCUGCCAUUGAAACAUUGAUGUGUGAUAAAGAGGUUACGUGGGUGUGUGUGUGUUUUUUUUCCUACCAGCUAGCCUGUCACAUCUUAUCAGCAUCAGCUACAUCUGUGAUGUGGUGAUUAUUGUCAUCAAGGGUUACUAAAUUACAGAAAACAUGAAUAUUAUUCUGCCUUCUUUUUAAUGCUGUACAUAUUAGUUGAUUUUAUUUCAAUUUCUUUAUUGAUUUAUUGAUCAUUAAGUUUACCUCCAUUACUGUAUUCAACCAUGGCAAUAGCUUCAUUUGAUAACAGUGUAUAAACUUAUUUCAGAUAUGCUUCAUCAUAAAUCAAAAUUUACUUUACAUGCAUUAUAUAGAUUAUACAGCAUCAUAAAAUAUAAAACUGCUUGCUAUGUGCACUAAUGUGUGUUUACAACUGUAAACUGUGUCUGUGUCUGGCUGUUAGCGUGUGUGUGUGUACUUGAAUCAGGCUAACAUUUGAAAUCAAAGUCGGAAACGGUGUGUAAGUCCAUUUCUAAUUCCCUUUUAUUCCUCUCUUCCUUUUCUCUCGCUUUUAUGUACUUGUCUUGGAAAAAAGGUGUUAAAUCAUCUAAAUCAUUCCCUGGCUAUUAUAUCCAAUUAAUGCCUCCUCAUGGUGUUUUAUUGUGUUAUAAACUGCUAUUGCUUGUGGUUCAGUAGACAAACACAAUGUGUGUCUGUGCCGCCUGCCACUGGGGCUGGCUGUGGCUGUGCUGGGGAGGGACAGAGGGGGACUUGGCCACUGCCCAUGGGGGCCCUGGCCACUCUAAAUCAGUUAGUUUUGGAGGAGAUCCUAGUCGGCUUUUUAAGAGGGUCCAUUAUAGGCUUGUUAAUGCCUCAGCCGAGGGGGAAACACUACUAACUGCACUCAAUUCUCUAUGCACUCAGUCUCCUUCUCACUCGCUCUCUCACAAACACACACACACACACACACACACACACACACACACACACACACACACACACACACACACACACACACACACACACACCUACAAACACACACCCAUUUUCUUCUCUCCCUCACUCUCCUUUCGCUUGUGUGUUUCUUCUUGAGAUGUGUGAGCGACUGUGUGUUGUCUUCUCAGUGUAUCCAGUGUGUUUUCCGUGCACAUGACACACCCAUCUCUGCCUCUGACUCCUCUUCAUGAAUUUCAUGGGUUUGGCCUUCACUGAAAGUAACACAAUAUCACAAAGUCUACCCAUUUCUUGCAUUGAUCUGUGUGCUCUGGGUCUGAAUGUGUUCUUUUGUUAACACAUGUGUGCAGCUAUGGCCAUGUGUGAGUGUGUGUGUGUGUGUGUAUGGUCUGUAAAAUGUGUUAAGCAGAUUGAGGGUUUCUUUGAAGAUGUACUUUGGAGGCUACAGGGGGAUUCAGGAGUGUGUUAUUGCAUAUUUAGGACAGUGUGUGAGGGUCUUUUGAGGGAGUAUGUGUGUGGGAAAUUUUAAUUCACACUAUAAGUGUGAAGCAGCUUAGUUCAUUUAUCACUGAAAGGAAAUACCCAGAGUGGUGUUUCAACUCCCAGUAGGUCCGCUGUCACACUGAGCUCUGGAGGAUCCUAACUAGCUGCAAAACCAAAAACUACAAAGUUCAUCGAGGAACAAUUGCUUGCUGGUAAUGUCAGUUACCACUUCAUCUCCUGUUUCAUCCAUAUGCAGACGUUUUUAUUCAGUUGUGUUUUCCCGCUGCUUUAUAUUGAGUUCUGCAUUUUUCUUCUCAGCCAAAGCGGUCACGGCUGCUUUGUUCUGCUCGUGGUCGAGCUAUAGGCAGCGAUAUUGCCACACCUGAGGUGCAAGCUAAUGUCCUCCAUCUCCGCAUUCUGAACCGUCGUCAAGGAAAGGUGCCUCUUGGUUGCCCUGGAAACCAUGCCUCCCAGCAUGCUUUGUGGUUCAAUCUCAGAAGCCUGAUAAAGUGUGAAACCAAUAACUGAUAAAGUAUCAGUCAGCAGGCAGUGCUGUCCAGUGGUGAACCUGGAAAUGGACCUUUUCCUGAACACUGACCAGAUAAGCAAAAUCAGAAAUAACUGACUCCAGGGAGCGCCUGUCAAGUCUUACUGGCGACCGCAGAGAGUCGGCAGCUGUCCAUCCCUCUCCCCGCACUGCCCUGCAUUGACUGAAACACCAACAGCCCAAAUUCAGCUGAAAAUUUCCACAGAGAAUAAUCAGGCUAAAACAUGUUAUGUUGUUAUUAUAAAUCAAAAGCCAUCACUAAUAUUGUAUAUACAGGCUGGAGCAAAUAUCAUAUUAUGAUGAAAAAUUGAAUUUCAACAUAUACUUAUGUGGCAAAUUAUAUAGACUCUUCUAUUUGUAGCCAGUGUUAUUUUCGGUUUCUGUUGAACUCUGUGUUGUCUGAGAAUAAUUGAUUGACUGUAUGCUUUCAUAUUUACAUCAAAUCAGUCCCCAGGGCUGCACUGUGCAGAAUAAAAAUCGGAAAUGGCGUAACCUAUGUCAUCUUUAUUCUGAGAGUAUCUCCUCUCCCCUCCUCUCCUGUAACAUGGCUACAAGUAACGUUAAUUUCUUUGUGCCUCUAGACAGAAUCAAAUGCUAUCUGUAAUAUGCAGCCUUGAUGAAAAUGUGUAUGAAUCACCAAGGGCAAGCCUGAGAAAUUUAAUUCUUUUAGGUUAUAUGACUCACUGUAAAACACUACCAAUAAAAGUGUCUGCAUGCUC